AGCUCGUUAGUAACGAUGUUGUUCAAGUUCCUCAAGGCACUGUAGUU
rnacentral:misc_RNA from 1 species